GGGUGAGCUUUGCUGAUUCCACAGAGGUGCUUAGAACCGAAGUUGGUGACAACGAGGGGAUCAAAGGAGGAAUAAAGAAGAGAAAAAAGGCAUCUCAGUCAAAGAAUAAGGCGGUUUACCCCAGAGGAAGACACCAUUCUCAUGGAAGCUAUAAGGGAUUUCACAGAGAUGAAGCAACUGGGAGAGAAAGGCUUAGAGAUGAUCCGGUCUGCUCGUAAACACAAAGAGCUCAGGCGUUGUUGGGAUGUUAUAGGAAAAUCGUUACCCCAUAGACCUCACAAUGCCAUAUACAGCCGGGCACGCACGUUACUCACUAGGAGUGAUGAACGUAAAUGGACACAGGAAGAGAAGGAGUAUAUUCGGCGGUUUGUUGGAAAAAAUGGCACGGAGUGGAAGACAUUGGCACAUGAACUUGGGAAGUGUCCUAUCCAUGUAAAAGAUACUUGGAGAAGAAUAAAAUCUGAGAACUUGAAAAAAGGGUCUUGGGCACAGGAUGAGUACCAAAAGUUAUUUGAUUUGGUGAACCUUGACUUACGUAUGAAAGCUCAUCAGAGCAAAAAUCUUGAUAAUCGGAAGCUAAGGGAUAACAUUUCCUGGGAGGCCAUCAGUGAUAAAUUAACCACCCGUAAUCACAAGAAUUGCUGCAGGAAAUGGUACGAUACAUUAGCAUCUCCGAUGGUUAGGAAAGGAAUUUGGGCAGAUGUUGAUGAUUAUCUAUUGGUGGAAGCGCUUCAGAAGGAUGAUGCUGUCUGCGUUGAAGAUGUUGACUGGGACAGCCUUCUCGAUCACAGGUCUGGGGAGGUCUGUCGUCAAAGAUGGAACCAGAUGGUCCGCGGCCUCGGCGGCCACAGGGAGAAGCCUUUCAUCGAGCAGGUCGACGUGCUCUCCAGGCGCUACUGCCCAGAAAUGAUCGAGUACAGGAAACCGGAGGAGUGAUGGUCUGUCGAAACUAACCUUCAAAAAUGUCCGGAGGGCCAUGUACUGUAACUGAAGAAUCUCUGGAUCCAUGGUUAUCUGCAACAUAGAGAUGUCAUAACAGAGAACAGCACUCAAGAGGCCAAGACUAGCGACUACACUUGGUAAAAUAGCCCAGUUUUGUCCAAAUAGACUAAUCAUCAAGAACAGAAAUUAAAGCAGAAGAGAGAACGAGCUGAAAUUAAGGGGAACGAUAUCGCACAGAUCUACCAUCCUCCCUCCAGAGCCUGUCUUGCUAGCGAGGAGAGGCGGUGCUGAGCCAGUGAGGCGCCUGUGGUUGGCGGGCUUGCUCUCUAUUAAAUUGACGCACUAGCUAAGUUUUCUAGAAGUUUGAAUUGUUGAAAAGGAAUAAUUAUUUUUAAUACUUCCUCCUAUUCAUAUUAAUUGAUUCAACUUUAUCAAGAUAUGGAUGUAUCUAGUUUUAACAAAUGCACCUAGAUACAUUCAUAUCUAGACAAAGUUGAAUCAAUUAUGAAUUGGAGGGAGUAUUAAAAUUGUGAUAGGUGGGUAGAAAGGGGUAACUAUUUUUAUAUUAAAAUUGCGGUUGGUGGGGU